UGGUGGCGAUACCGGAGGGGGUACACCUGUUCCCAUCCCGAACACAGCAGUUAAGGAUCGCAACGGCUUUGAAACGAUUGGCUUAAUAACAAGGUUAUUAAUUAGCCAUUGCGGUUGAAGCUUUUAUUAUUUGUCCAGAGAUAGUUAUAUGGGCCGAUGGUACUUGGAGCUUACGCUCCUGGGAGAGUAGGUCGUCGCCAGAGUA
rnacentral:rRNA from 1 species